UACGUAGGGGGCAAGCGUUGUCCGGAUUUAUUGGGCGUAAAGAGCGUGUAGGCGGCCAGGUAGGUCGGUUGUGAAAACUCGAGGCUCAACCUCGAGACGCCGGUGGAAACUGCAAAGCUAGAGUCCGGAAGAGGAGAGUGGAAUUCCUGGUGUAGCGGUGAAAUGCGCAGAUAUCAGGAAGAACACCCGUGGCGAAGGCGGCUCUCUGGGACGGUACUGACGCUGAGACGCGAAAGCGUGGGGAGCGAACAGG
rnacentral:rRNA from 1 species